AGUGGGAUGUCUGGGUCAAAUGGUAGUUCCAUUGCAUGUUUUCUGAGGAAUCUUCAUACUGCUUUCCAGAAUGGUUGCACCAAUUUGCAGUCCCUCCAGCCAU
rnacentral:pre_miRNA from 1 species